CUGGGCUGCAGUAGUCGGGGUGCGCGCGAGCAGGCGCUGCCAGCCUGCUUCUGCCCGGCAGUCGGGUCCCAGGAGCGGACGGACCCGGCGCCCGCGUCCUCUCUGCCUCCUCCUCCUUCCUGCUCUCACCUGCGCCUGUUAGCCCCCUCGCCUUCAAGGCCAGGGGCUACAGCCCAGACUGAGGGGGACAGCAGAAAGAGAGAGAGCACCUGAGGAUACAGAGCUGACACUGGACUGCCCUUUUCACCCCCAGGUGAUGAGUGAGGUCGGAAGAUCGCAAGAUUUAAAAAGCAUCUGGAGUCUCCGUAUUGAAAGACCCAGUGCGAAGGCAUCACCAUGAACACGAGCAUUCCUUAUCAGCAGAAUCCUUACAAUCCCCGGGGCAGCUCCAGUGUCAUCCAGUGCUAUCGAUGUGGAGACACCUGCAAAGGGGAGGUGGUUCGCGUCCACAAUAACCAUUUCCACAUCAGAUGCUUCACCUGUCAAGUGUGUGGCUGUGGCCUGGCUCAGUCAGGCUUCUUCUUCAAGAACCAGGAGUACAUCUGCACCCAGGACUACCAGCAACUCUACGGCACCCGCUGUGACAGCUGCCGGGACUUUAUCACGGGCGAGGUCAUCUCUGCGCUGGGCCGCACCUACCACCCCAAGUGCUUCGUGUGCAGCUUGUGCAGGAAGCCCUUCCCCAUUGGAGACAAGGUGACCUUCAGUGGGAAGGAAUGUUUGUGUCAGACAUGCUCCCAGUCCAUGACGAGCAGUAAGCCCAUCAAGAUCCGUGGACCAAGCCACUGCGCUGGGUGCAAGGAGGAAAUCAAGCACGGCCAGUCACUCCUGGCUCUGGACAAGCAGUGGCACGUCAGCUGCUUCAAAUGCCAGACCUGCAGCAUCAUCCUCACCGGGGAGUACAUCAGCAAGGAUGGCGUUCCAUACUGCGAGUCUGACUACCACUCCCAGUUUGGCAUUAAGUGCGAGACUUGUGACCGAUACAUCAGCGGCAGGGUCUUGGAGGCAGGAGGGAAGCACUACCACCCAAGCUGUGCCAGAUGUGUACGCUGCCACCAGAUGUUCACCGAAGGAGAGGAGAUGUACCUCACAGGCUCUGAGGUUUGGCACCCCAUCUGCAAACAGGCAGCCCGGGCAGAGAAGAAGUUAAAGCAUAGGCGGACGUCUGAAACUUCCAUCUCACCCCCUGGAUCUAGCAUCGGGUCACCCAACCGAGUCAUCUGCGCUAAAGUGGAUAAUGAGAUCCUUAAUUACAAAGACCUGGCAGCUCUCCCCAAGGUUAAGUCCAUCUACGAGGUACAACGCCCCGACCUCAUUUCCUACGAGCCUCAUUCCAGAUACACGUCCGACGAGAUGCUGGAGAGGUGUGGCUAUGGAGAGGACAUCUAUGAGAACCUGGACCUCCGGCAGAGACGGGCCUCUAGCCCAGGAUACAUCGACUCCCCCACCUACAGCCGGCAGGGCAUGUCCCCCACCUUCUCUCGCUCUCCUCAUCACUAUUACCGCUCCGCUGGAGAAAGUAACAUCUACCGGAAGCCCCCGAUCUACAAACGGCAUGGUGAUUUGUCGACAGCAACCAAGAGCAAAACAAGUGAAGACAUCAGUCAGGCCUCCAAGUACAGUCCAGCCUACUCGCCAGACCCCUACUAUGCUGCGGAGUCUGAGUACUGGACCUACCAUGGGUCCCCCAAAGUGCCCCGAGCCAGAAGGUUCUCAUCUGGAGGAGAGGAGGACGAUUUUGACCGCAGCAUGCACAAGCUCCAGAGUGGAAUUGGCCGACUAAUUCUGAAGGAAGAGAUGAAGGCCCGGUCCAGUUCCUACGCGGAUCCCUGGACCCCACCCCGGAGCUCCACCAGCAGCCGAGAGGCCCUGCACACAGCUGGCUAUGAUAUGUCCCUAAAUGGCUACCCCCUCAUCUCCAAAUCUGCCUCCCUGCCUGCCUACAGAAGAAACGGGCUGCACAGGACACCCAGCGCAGACCUAUUCCAUUACGACAGCAUGAACGCUGUCAACUGGGGCAUGCGAGAGUACAAGGUAAAGAUACACAGACCCUGGGGGUCUCCGGGACCCUGCAUGUUGCUACACUGGGGACCAGCAGGAAGAUGACAGCACUGUCUAUGCAGGGAAGGGAACAUCGAUAAAUAACCCCAAGGGUCCUCUCAAGACUAGCAUUUCCAGUCCCUCCUUGGCCCAGUUUCCCUGAAUCCUGCCCUACAUCUCUUGCCUCCUGAAACCAGACAGUUCCCCCGGGCCUCGGAGACUCUCCAGAGGCUUUUGCCAAUCACAGAUAUGAGACAUUUACACUCAGGAGCCCUUGUGCUCUCAUUAAGGCCAAAUGCAACCAAGCUCAUCCCUGGCAGUAUUCAAGGACUCCAGGGCCUUGCCUUUUGGGAGAAGGUGGCUUGAGGCUGCCAAGAAACCCGAAUGAGGACAUACUCAGCCCUUCCUCCAGACUUUAAUCUCUGGCUCUUUCUGGACAGAGGAGAGAGCCCCAGCCAGACACAAAAUAUGUCUGAAGGGACAAGCCCACCACCCUCACCCAACCUACAAAUAUCCCCCCUCCUCUCUUCUUAGAUCUACCCUUAUGAACUGCUCCUGGUGACCACAAGAGGGAGAAACCGACUGCCCAAGGAUGUGGAUCGGACACGUUUAGAGCGCCACCUGUCCCAGGAAGAGUUCUACCAAGUCUUCGGCAUGACCAUCUCUGAGUUUGACCGGCUGGCCCUCUGGAAGAGGAAUGAACUGAAGAAGCAAGCCCGGCUGUUCUAGGCAGAAGCUCUAUAAAUAUAUAUGCAUUUAUAUAAAGAUA